AUACCCAAAUCUUGGUUAUAGGUGAAACUUAAGGGGGGCUAUACAAAAUCUUGCACACAUAUGGGGAUUAAGUGGAAAUUUUCCUUUUAUUUGCUAAUAAAAGUCAGUAGCCUUUUCUUCUUCAGUAAGAAGAAAAGAAACAGAGCACAGACGGGAGAAAACAGAGAAAGAAAGGGGAAGAAGAGAAGGGAAGAAAGAAAAGAAAAGAAAGAAGAAGAAAAGAAAGAAAAAGAAGGAAAGGGAAAGGAAGAGAAAAGGGAUUUAUAGAAAAAGGGAAUAGGGUGAAGAAGAAGGGAGAUUAGCAAGAGAUUUCAACUCUGACUUAGAGGCUACCCAAAUCAGUGAGUGGGAAUAAACUUUUCUUUCUUUA